rnacentral:rRNA from 1 species
UACGAAGGGGGCUAGCGUUGUUCGGAAUUACUGGGCGUAAAGCGCGUGUAGGCGGGUCUUUAAGUCAGGGGUGAAAUGCCAAGGCUCAACCUUGGAACUGCCUUUGAUACUGGAGAUCUUGAGUCCGGGAGAGGUGAGUGGAACUGCGAGUGUAGAGGUGAAAUUCGUAGAUAUUCGCAAGAACACCAGUGGCGAAGGCGGCUCACUGGCCCGGAACUGACGCUGAGACGCGAAAGCGUGGGGAGCA